GAAGAUGUUAUAUAUAUGUGACAUUGCCGUGAGGAAUGACGUGUGGCCCGAAGCCAUAUCUUGGGUUGCCUUGAUGAAGCUCCGGACCAGGCUUCAUUCCCCUCGGCAGAGUUGCAACAAGUGGGAAAGGG
rnacentral:pre_miRNA from 1 species